ensembl:lncRNA
UAAUAUAUAAUUUUUCGUUUGUAAAAAUUGUUCAGUCUCUUACAAUAAGUUAUAUCAAGAGCAUGCUUUUUAAAGUUGCGCUUGGAAUUCGAGAAAUCUCAAAGUACCAGCUCUUAACAGGGUUUCAAGCUUCAUAUAUAAGACUUUAAAGGUUAUUUUAAUGCCAGUUAGACUGAAAUAGAUCAACCUCAUUCGAAUGAAACAGAGCAUUCAAAUGUCGUCCAGUGUAAAACCUCCAAUAACGAAGUGAAGACUCAAAUGCUAAAAAUAUAUAUUUUUUAACCAUAUUCCAGAAAAUUACAGUACAAGGCAGUAGGAUACAAUAUUUUUUAAAUAUCUUUAAAAAGUUAUUUCAGGAACCCCUGAUACAUUUUAUUUUUCAAAAUAAAAGUCUUCCGCACUUUUUCGUCAUAGCUAAUCUUAAAACAAAAUCCUAUCGGAGAAGCUUGUGAAUUUACACGCUGUUUUCAGUCAAAGCCUCCCUCGCUAAUGGAUCCAGGGGAACAUUUAAAACCUUAUUACGACAAGGUUUCCAUCGCUAGCCAGAGAGAAACCAACGAAAUGAUCACAAAAACAUUUGGCUGGCUAGUUUAUGUUAGAAAAAUAUUCUAAAAGAGGCAGCAUCGGUAGAAAAAAAAGAAUCGGUCAAAGUGUCCCCACAAAGUUUCUAUCGUAUCGUGUAUCUGAAUGCAGUACACUGAGUAGUGAAGCAGCUUUUCUGACAGCAAUGCAUGUGCCAUGUAUGGUGUAGUAACAAGACCCCCCAGCGGGAGGCGCUGUUCCUCUCUAAUAAACAGCCGACCAGAUGCUGCACUCAUCACGGUGAGUUGCACUGCAGUGACCCACGCUCCUCCAUCCCCUCCUUCUAUAAAUACACACUGAUAUACAUAGCUUUCACGUCGAUGUAUACCGUUCUCUCAUAUUGUACAAAUAUAAAGUCAAUAUAUUAAUAUCAGAGACAUACACAUGCUUGCAUUACUAGUCAAUAAAAUAACUUACAUUAUGUAACAGUAACAAAACCGUAUAAAAACAAUAUUACAAAACAGUUAAAAACCAUUGUCUUGAUAUAUGAUAAUCUCUAAAAAAAUUCUACUGCUGAGGUUUCCUUGUUUUCUUGUUGCUUUGUAGUCCUGUUGGCAGAGGUGGUGGUGGUGGUGGAGGUGGUGGUGGUGGUGGUAUGGGGUUGGAUGAUGAGAGGGAGGUGCAGGAGGCAGGUGGAGGUAUAUGAAGGGUUGUGUCUCAUGAGGAAGCUUUCAUCACUGAAUGAAAGGCAGAUUAGUCCAGAAUGCGAGAGGGGUCCACCGAGAUAUUUCACAGCCACCCUGUCCCUGUGUCUGUUGUGUGUGUCUCCCUCCCUCCCUCC